GGUUUGAGAGGGUAGUUUAGGUAAUAAAUUUGGGUUUAAAGAGAUAUUAAUUAUUUAAUAAAAAAUAAUAUGAAUGAAUAGAAUAAGUUGGAUGUAGAAAGAAAUUACAUGAAUUCAAUAAAAUUCCCCUUAAAUAAUUUAAAAGCAUGUAUUCAUGCUCCAACAACCAAGCAUGUACUCAUGCUCCAACAACCAAGCUUUUCAUUUACCAAUGUCGCCUUUACCGUUCUUCAAGGUGGGCUGGAUCCCUAAGGUACAACUACAUACAAGCUGGGCAGACAAGACGGUUCAAACAGUAUAACAUAAGAAGGAAACAAAGUUUGCAACAAUUACAGACUGAAAUUAAGGGUUUUCGGCGACAACAGAAAACUAAAGAAAAAGGUCUGAGAUCGUGGCUUGAAAUGAUUCACAUGGAGAGUCGAAAACUUCUCUAAGUUGAAGAGCAAGAAACAUUCCUUUGACGUUUUCAUCAUUGGUGGUUUUAAAUAGUACGUAUUUGAGUUAUCUUCUAUAUAGAUACGUGACUUUAAAUUUUGUUUUUCUGCUUUGUAUUAUUAUUUUUGGAUUACAUAAAUUUGGUUUGAUUUGAUCAGGCAGAUCCUCUUAUAUCCAAAGGGUCACAACAGAACAGAGAUGCCAGCCUGCCAAUAUUUUUGGUUGUUGCAGAUGCUUCAACAUUGCCAUCUAGGUGGAGUAGAUGUGCACGAUUCAAGUUCACUGUGGUUAAUCAACUUGACAGAAAUAAGUCAACAACACUAGAAAAGCUGAGAUGCUGCAACAAUAUUCUUUUCUUCCUAACAAUCAGUUUGGUUAUUGAACCAUGGUUUUCUUGAAACUCGUAAUGAGAAAGAGUUCAAGGCAGGAGUGAGUUCGUUGGGAUACAGAUCGUUUAUGCCUUUGAGUAAGCUCCAUGAUCGCAGUGCAGGCUAUCUUGUGAAUGAUACAUGUAUAAUUGAAGUAAAGGUUAAAAUCCUUGAAGCUGAAAGUGAGGAGGAUGAUGAAUACGAUGAAGGAUCAUCUGAUUUUUCUACAAGUACGAAGAAUUCAUCAAAUACAGAUUCUGUGCAAGUUGGAGACUCUUCAGUAUCACCCAGCUGCUUCCCUCCCAUGAUAAACCAAGUUCUCUAAAAGAUUGCACUAACACUAGCAUUGAUAGUCCUGCUGGCCCUACUUUAGUCAAGGAACAUGAGAAAGAAAAACUACCCUAUGCUUUUCCAGCUAGCGAGCUCGUUGAUUUCAAGGGUUUAGGUUGGAUAGAGAAAGCUUUUGUCCCACAACUAGAGGAAGUUUGUUCAUGGCAUCCUUCACUGAUCAAGUGCCAACAAAAGAGGAGUUGUAAGUUCACUGAAUGUGCAUUCACAGCUUUGGGAAGAGUCCUGCAUUUUUUAAAGACUACAAAAGGUAAGGAUAUGACGUGUUAGGACUCUAACGAGAACCUUCGGCUUUUAUGGGAAGAGCUAGAGAUUUUCAGAUUUGACUUGGCAUCGUUAGAGCCAUAUGUUCAAUCCGCUUUGUGUAUGAAGAAAUUUGGGGAAAUGGCAGGGCGAGUGAUUGAGAGGAGAGGUGGAUGCUUUGGAGACCGAACUGAAAAGACAAAGGACUGAGCUAGUUGAUGCAGAGGUAGAUCUUGAUCGGGUAGCAGAAAAAUAUGGACAAUGAGUUAGGUUAUGGACGGCAUUAGCCUAAUAGUUGGUUCUUGGUUAUACAUUUUCGGUCAGAGGAAUGCGGUGGGCAACGUGACCAAACUUUGACUGGCUCGUUUUUGCUAAGCCUAACAACGUUUUUGCGCCGUUUUCGCAAAGCCUAUCUAUUUGACUCGGUUUGACUCGGUUUCUGCAUGAUUAUAUUUUUACCAUCAAAUGCUUUAAAUGGUAGUUUAAUACUGCCUUGUUGAAUGAUGAAUUUUAUUUCGAUCUAUUGGUGGGUUCUGAUCGUAUUGUAUGAGACCCUAAAAAUUUGUGUCAGAACGUUGUUGCAAGAUUGAAAAUUGUAUGAAAAUUAUGUCUGCAAGAUUAUAAUCAA